rnacentral:rRNA from 1 species
AUUGAACGCUGGCGGCAUGCCUUACACAUGCAAGUCGAACGGCAGCACGGGUGCUUGCACCUGGUGGCGAGUGGCGAACGGGUGAGUAAUACAUCGAAACGUACCUUAUCGUGGGGGAUAACGCAGCGAAAGCUGUGCUAAUACCGCAUACGCCCUGAGGGGGAAAGCGGGGGAUCGCAAGACCUCGCGCGAUUAGAGCGGCCGAUGCCUGAUUAGCGUGUUGGUGGGGUAAAAGCCCACCAAGGCGACGAUCAGUAGCUGGUCUGAGAGGACGAUCAGCCACACUGGGACUGAGACACGGCCCAGACUCCUACGGGAGGCAGCAGUGGGGAAUUUUGGACAAUGGGGGCAACCCUGAUCCAGCAAUGCCGCGUGAGUGAAGAAGGCCUUCGGGUUGUAAAGCUCUUUUGUCAGGGAAGAAACACCGGCUCUAACACAGUCCGGGAAUGACGGUACCUGAAGAAUAAGCACCGGCUAACUACGUGCCAGCCGCCGCAGUAA